CUGGGUUGAAGAGUCCCACAAUGGGACGAAACGGCCGUCCAGUAC
rnacentral:hammerhead_ribozyme from 1 species